GUAGGUGGCAAGCGUUGUCCGGAAUUAUUGGGCGUAAAGCGCGCGCAGGCGGCCUUUUAAGUCUGAUGUGAAAGCCCCCGGCUCAACCGGGGAGGGUCAUUGGAAACUGGAAGGCUUGAGUGCAGAAGAGAAGAGCGGAAUUCCACGUGUAGCGGUGAAAUGCGUAGAGAUGUGGAGGAACACCAGUGGCGAAGGCGGCUCUUUGGUCUGUAACUGACGCUGAGGCGCGAAAGCGUGGGGAGCGAACAGGAUUAGAUACCCUGGUAGUCCACGCCGUAAACGAUGAGUGCUAAGUGUUGGGGGGUUUCCGCCCCUCAGUGCUGCAGCUAACGCAUUAAGCACUCCGCCUGGGGAGUACGGCCGCAAGGCUGAA
rnacentral:rRNA from 1 species